rnacentral:misc_RNA from 1 species
AAGUCGUAACAAGGUCUCCGUUGGUGAACCAGCGGAGGGAUCAUUAAAGAGUUUUAUAACUCCCAAACCCAUGUGAACUUACUUCAGUUGCUUCGGUGACGGACCUACCCUGGUUGGGGUUACCCUGUAACACGGGUAUCCUGGCCGUAAAGGGGCGGGCGAGUUGCCGGUGGCCCAUAAACUCUUAUUAUACCUACAUCUCUGAAUUUAAAACAUAAUAAGUUAAAACUUUCAACAACGGAUCUCUUGGUUCUG